UUUCGCUUCUUCCUCAACAUUCAUUUUCCAAAAUAGGGAGGAGCUCACUUCUUCCUUUCGCCAUUACUCUUCAUUUGCACGCAUACUACCCCAUCUUCACCUCCACCUCCAUCACUGCAUACCACGCGUCCACCAUUACAGCAUCGCCGGUGCCCUGGGAUGGAGCUGACAGAAUUCUCUCUCAGCUCAAAUCACCCACAACAAGGGUGAGUGGGUCUUGCCAUGAGAUAUAUAUAUCUGGCUCUCUAUAUUGGAGAAGGCAUAUGCCAAAUUGCAUGGUUCUUUUGAGACAUUAGAAGGCAGGCUUGUUCAAGAUGCUCUUGUGGACCUCAUUUUCUUUUUUAGGUGAAUACUUGUGGACCUCAUUGGUGGUGUUGGCGAGGAAAUUGACAUGAGAAGUGCCCAAGCUCAGAUUGAUCUUACAAGUGGUAGACCACUACCUCUGGCACAAGAUGGGGGGAGGAAGCAUAGUUAGCAACCACGUCAGCAAAACCAUCUGAGAUAUCUUCAUCAGCAACAUUUGUACCACAUCAGCUUGGUUCAAAUAUUGUAGCAGAGGCGCCAAUUUCAUAAUAUUAUGCAGAAGAAUUUUCCACAACAACUACACAUUCGGCUUGUGUAAGUCAUCACAUUAAUUCAAACUCUUCAAGACUUAUCAACACAAGCACUGAAGAUAGAGAUAAAAAGGAAGAUAGCAUAAGAUGACAUUUUAUUUUGAGUAAUGAUUGAAUACCACCUAAAGAUACAACUUUUCACUACCUUGCCUAUGUGGCAA